UUGGAGGGCAAGUCUGGUGCCAGCAGCCGCGGUAAUUCCAGCUCCAAUAGCGUAUAUUAAAGUUGUUGCAGUUAAAAAGCUCGUAGUUGAAUUUCGGGAUCAAUGGAUCGGUCAUGCCGUUGGUAUGUACUGGUUUUAUUGAUUCUCACCUUCUAAAGAACCAUGAUGGCAUUAAUUUGUUGUUGUGGGGAAUUAGGACUGUUACCUUGAAAAAAUUAGAGUGUUUAAAGCAGGCUUACGCUUGAAUACAUUAGCAUGGAAUAACGAAAUAGGACAUCGCAUUCUAUUUUGUUGGUUUCUAGGAUCGAUGUAAUGAUUAAUAGGGAUAGUUGGGGGCAUUAGUAUUCAAUUGUCAGAGGUGAAAUUCUUGGAUUUAUUGAAGACUAACUACUGCGAAAGCAUUUGCCAAGGAUGUUUUCAUUAAUCAAGAACGAAAGUUAGGGGAUCGAAGACGAUCAGAUACCGUCGUAGUCUUAACCAUAAACUAUGCCGACUAGGGAUCGGAUGAUGUUAAUUUUUUAAUGACUCAUUCGGCGCCUUACGGGAAAC
rnacentral:rRNA from 1 species